CCUGACCCCAUGCCGAACUCAGAAGUGAAACGCCGUAGCGCCGAUGGUAGUGUGGGGCCUCCCCAUGCGAGAGUAGGGAACUGCCAGGC
rnacentral:rRNA from 2 species